CAGCCACCUGAGAUUGAGCAAUAACAGGUCUGUGAUGACCUUAGAUGUCUGAGGCUGCAUGCACACUACACUGACUGACUCAGCCUGUGCCUACUCUAUGCCAGCAGGAGUGAGUUACCCAUUGAACCCCAUUCAUGA
rnacentral:ncRNA from 1 species